GACGUAGGGCGCGAGCGUUGUCCAGAUUUAUUGGGCGUAAAGAGCUCGUAGGCGGCUCGUUGCGUCGGCUGUGAAAACCCGCAGCUCAACUGUGGGCUUGCAGCUGAUACGGGCGGGCUGGGAUUCGGUAGGGGAGACUGGAAUUCCUGGUGUAGCGGUGAAAUGCGCAGAUAUCGGGAAGAACACCCGUGGCGAAGGCGGUUCUCUGGGACGGUACUGACGCUGAGGUGCGAAAGCGUGGGGAGCAAACAGG
rnacentral:rRNA from 1 species